rnacentral:rRNA from 1 species
UACGAAGGGGGGCUAGCGUUGCUCGGAAUCACUGGGCGUAAAGGGUGCGUAGGCGGGUCUUUUAAGUCAGGGGUGAAAUCCUGGAGCUCAACUCCAGAACUGCCUUUGAUACUGAAGAUCUUGAGUUCGGGAGAGGUGAGUGGAACUGCGAGUGUAGAGGUGAAAUUCGUAGAUAUUCGCAAGAACACCAGUGGCGAAGGCGACACGCUGGGCCGUACCUGACACUGAUGCGCGACAGCAUGGGGAGCAAACAGG